rnacentral:rRNA from 1 species
CCUACGGGCGGCAGCAGUCGAGAAUCAUUCACAAUGGGCGCAACCCUGAUCGUGCGACGCCGCGUGGGGGAAUGCAGCUCUUCGGGUUGUAAACCCCUGUCAUGUGGGAGCAAAUUAAAAAGAUAGUACCACACUAGGAAGAGACGGCUAACUCUGUGCCAGCAGCCGCGGUAAUACAGCGGUCUCAAGCGUUGUUCGGAAUCACUGGGCUGAAAGCGUGCGUAGGCUGUUUCGUAAGUCGGGUGUGAAAGGCGCGGGCUCAACCCGCGGAUGGCACAUGAUACUGCGAGACUAGAGUAAUGGAGGGGGAACCGGAAUUCUCGGUGUAGCAGUGAAAUGCGUAGAUAUCGAGAGGAACACUCGUGGCGAAGGCGGGUUCCUGGACAUUAACUGACGCUGAGGCACGAAGGCCAGGGGAGCGAAAGGGAUUAGAUACCCCAGUAGUC